rnacentral:rRNA from 1 species
UACGGAGGCCCCAAGCGUUGUUCGGAUUUAUUGGGCGUAAAGGGUGCGUAGGCGGCAUUGUAAGUCUGGUGUGAAAGGCGUGGGCUCAACCCGCGGACUGCAUUGGAUACUGCGAUGCUAGAGGACUGGAGAGGAGGAUGGAAUUCACGGUGGAGCAGUGAAAUGCGUAGAUAUCGUGAGGAAGGCCAGUGGCGAAGGCGAUUCUCUGGACAGUAACUGACGCUGAGGGACGAAAGCUAGGGGAGCGAACGGG